UACAGAGGUCUCAAGCGUUGUUCGGAUUCAUUGGGCGUAAAGGGUGUGUAGGUGGCGCCGUAAGUCGGGGUGUGAAAUUUCGGAGCUUAACUCCGAAACUGCAUUCGAUACUGCGGUGCUUGAGGACUGGAGAGGAGACUGGAAUUCAUGGUGUAGCAGUGAAAUGCGUAGAGAUCAUGAGGAAGACCAGUGGCGAAGGCGGGUCUCUGGACAGUUCCUGACACUCAGGGACGAAAGCUAGGGGAGCGAAUGGG
rnacentral:rRNA from 1 species